GUCUCUUCAAAGAUUAAGCCAUGCAUGUCCAAGUAUAAGCAAUCUAUACGGUGAAACUGCGAAUGGCUCAUUAAAUCAGUUAUCGUUUAUUUGAUAGUACCUUACUACAUGGAUAACCGUGGUAAUUCUAGAGCUAAUACAUGCUAAAAACCCCGACUUCGGAAGGGGUGUAUUUAUUAGAUAAAAAACCAGCGCCCUUCGGGGCUCCUUGGUGAUUCAUAAUAACUCAACGAAUCGCAUGGCCUUGCGCCGGCGAUGGUUCAUUCAAAUUUCUGCCCUAUCAACUUUCGAUGGUAGGAUAGUGGCCUACCAUGGUAUCAACGGGUAACGGGGAAUUAGGGUUCUAUUCCGGAGAGGGAGCCUGAGAAACGGCUACCACAUCCAAGGAAGGCAGCAGGCGCGCAAAUUACCCAAUCCCGACACGGGGAGGUAGUGACAAUAAAUACUGAUACAGGGCUCUUUUGGGUCUUGUAAUUGGAAUGAGUACAAUUUAAAUCCCUUAACGAGGAACAAUUGGAGGGCAAGUCUGGUGCCAGCAGCCGCGGUAAUUCCAGCUCCAAUAGCGUAUAUUAAAGUUGUUGCAGUUAAAAAGCUCGUAGUUGAACCUUGGGCCUGGCUGGCCGGUCCGCCUCACCGCGUGUACUGGUCCGGCCGGGCCUUUCCUUCUGGGGAGCCGCAUGCCCUUCACUGGGCGUGUCGGGGAACCAGGACUUUUACUUUGAAAAAAUUAGAGUGUUCAAAGCAGGCCUUUGCUCGAAUACAUUAGCA
rnacentral:rRNA from 1 species